rnacentral:rRNA from 1 species
UACGGGGGGGGGCGAGCGUUGUUCGGAAUCACUGGGCUUAAAGCGCGUGUAGGCGGAUGGGGACGUCGGUCGCUGAAAUCCCCCGGCUCAACCGGGGAACGGGCGCGGAUACGACUCUCCUUGAGGGGCGUAGGGGGACCUGGAACUUCCGGUGGAGCGGUGAAAUGCGCUGAGAUCGGAAGGAACGCCCGUGGCGAAAGCGAGGUCCUGGACGCCUACUGACGCUGAGACGCGAAAGCCAGGGGAGCGAACGGG